UACAGAGGGUGCAAGCGUUAAUCGGAAUUACUGGGCGUAAAGCGUGCGUAGACGGUUAUGUAAGUCGGGUGUGAAAGCCCCGGGCUCAACCUGGGAAUGCCAUUCGAGACUGCAUAGCUAGGGUGCGGAAGAGGGAAGCGGAAUUUCCGGUGUAGCGGUGAAAUGCGUAGAUAUCAGGAAGAACACCAAUGGCGAAAGCAGCUCUCUGGGACGGUACUGACGCUGAGACGCGAAAGCGUGGGGAGCGAACAGG
rnacentral:rRNA from 1 species